ACACCGAUAGAGACAAUUGCUUGAGUAGCAAUUAAGGCAACAACUAGCUUUCAAAUUUUACUCUAUGGUCAUUGAGGCAUCCAUGACCCAUCCUGUUACAAAAUUUAUAUAACAAAGUAUAUUCAUCGAUUCCAACAGUCAAAUUUGGCGCUACUAGGGCAAUAUACUCCACCUCUUUUUCAUAUAAUGAAAAAAGAUUCUGUCACACGAUGAUUCACAGUCUUAUAGGG
rnacentral:lncRNA from 1 species